rnacentral:tRNA from 1 species
ACCUGGCUGGCUCAGUGGGUAGAGCAUGUGACUCUUGAUCUCGGGGUUGUGAGUUCAAGCCCCAUGUUGGGUG